rnacentral:rRNA from 1 species
AGUGUAGGUGGUAUGGUAAGUUAUAUGUGAAAGACCUGAGCUUAACUUAGGAAUUGCAUAUAAGACUGCCAAACUAGAGUGUGAGAGAGGUAAGCGGAAUUCCUAGUGUAGCGGUAGAAUGCGUAGAGAUUAGGAAGAACACCAGAGGCGAAGGCGGCUUACUGGCUCACAACUGACACUGAGGCUCGAAAGCGUGGGGAGCAAACA